rnacentral:rRNA from 1 species
CCUACGGGAGGCAGCAGUGAGGAAUAUUGGUCAAUGGCCGGAAGGCUGAACCAGCCAUGCCGCGUGAAGGUCAGUGCCCUAUGGGCGUUAAACUUCUUUUGUGCGGGAGCAAUAAUGGUCACGUGUGGCCCGACGAGAGUACCGUACGAAUAAGCAUCGGCUAACUCCGUGCCAGCAGCCGCGGUAAUACGGGGGAUGCAAGCGUUAUGCGGAUUUAGUGGGUUUAAAGGGUGCGUAGGCUGUGAGGUAAGUCAGCGGUGAAAUGCCCCCGCUCAACGGGGUGAAGUGCCAUUGAUACUGCCGUGCUGGAAUGCGGAUGCCGUGGGAGGAAUGUGUGGUGUAGCGGUGAAAUGCAUAGAUAUCACACAGAACACCGAUUGCGAAGGCAUCUCACGAAUCCGCGAUUGACGCUGAUGCACGAAAGCGUGGGUAUCAAACAGGAUUAGAUACCCCUGUAGUC